CUUGUACCGACUGGAUGAGCAGCGAACGGGUGAGUAACGCGUGGGGAAUCUGCCUUUGAGCGGGGGACAACAUUUGGAAACGAAUGCUAAUACCGCAUAAAAACUUUAAACACAAGUUUUAAGUUUGAAAGAUGCAAUUGCAUCACUCAAAGAUGAUCCCGCGUUGUAUUAGCUAGUUGGUGAGGUAAAGGCUCACCAAGGCGAUGAUACAUAGCCGACCUGAGAGGGUGAUCGGCCACAUUGGGACUGAGACACGGCCCAAACUCCUACGGGAGGCAGCAGUAGGGAAUCUUCGGCAAUGGACGAAAGUCUGACCGAGCAACGCCGCGUGAGUGAAGAAGGUUUUCGGAUCGUAAAACUCUGUUGGUAGAGAAGAACGUUGGUGAGAGUGGAAAGCUCAUCAAGUGACGGUAACUACCCAGAAAGGGACGGCUAACUACGUGCCAGCAGCCGCGGUAAUACGUAGGUCCCGAGCGUUGUCCGGAUUUAUUGGGCGUAAAGCGAGCGCAGGUGGUUUAUUAAGUCUGGUGUAAAAGGCAGUGGCUCAACCAUUGUAUGCAUUGGAAACUGGUAGACUUGAGUGCAGGAGAGGAGAGUGGA
rnacentral:rRNA from 1 species